GCCAAUUGUGUUUCAUAUACAAAGAACAUCAACAGAGGUCAGAAGUGUCAAUGACGCAAAUGGAUUUUUUGAAACUAUUUAUUAUAAUUUUUAUUUUGGUAUAUUUAUACACGGCGUCUGUGAGAGUUAUAUUUAUUACUAAUAAACGGAGUUUUUCAGCUAGCAAGGUUACAUUCAUCCCGACCUAUAAUAGAUGAGAAGCGCAGUUUACAUUUUUGCACGUUCCAUUUUUUAUUUUUUAAGAAGUUUUAGGAUACAGUACGAUGGAUGAAAUCUAUUGAUGGCUAUAAUUCAAUAAAUUCAAAUUGAGGCAAAGGUUGAGUAACUAGUAUUUGGAAACUAUUGAUGGAAUGCAACAACCUUUAAGUACCUAGGAAUUCGUCUGGAUGUAUGGAGUAAUAUGAACUUUGGAUCUAUUAGAUCUAUGCAGGAAUUGAAAGUUUGCUUUUCCGAUCUUCUUAUUAGAUACAAGUUUCUUAUGAUACCUAAGACACCAGCUAUGCGCAUUUCAGCUUCUUCGUAUGCAUAGGGAAAAUCCACUGCAAUAUUUUUAUGCAACUGAAGCAGCAGACAAGAUACAAUGUCAUCCAAGAAAUUACUAUAAUUAGUUCCAACUGUUUCAUAAUUUUUCGACAGACAGCAAUCGUUGAUCGAGGAUAGUUUCUUUGAAUUGCUUAUUUACAUAAGCAAUUUUCUUACAGUUUACAAGGCCUAACGACAACUACACCUGUCCAUUUUAACUCUCUUAAAUACAUAGAAAAUUAUUACCUCAUCUUACGACAAGUCACCACGGAGAAGAAAAAGCGGUUCACACAACUACUAAAGCUGGAUUUACAUUUGGAGCUUACCCCCCAACUUUCGGCAUACCCCACCAACCCUUUGGUACCCUUUAAAGCACUUUGCGCCAACCGCAGUUGCAUCAUUCUGAGAUAUUCCACUUAUUCUGCGAUUUCGCGCAAAUUCGUUAGACUCCGAUGCCGAUACAAAACUUACGCACAACAGGUACGCGGUAAGCAAAAUUGCUAACGUAAAGAUCUUCAUGUUGACCUGUUGGACGUAACAGCGAAACUAUGCGCUGUUCGAAGUCAAUCAAUUAUUUAUGCAUCUAAUUAACGCGUGGGGUUCGCUAAUAUUAUCGGUCUGAUAAAACUUAGGUAUAGAGAGCUUACCGUGCCCAACUUUUCUGCACCUUGAAAGUAUUCUUUCAUAUCCUGGAUUGCAAUUGACUUUAAUCAAGUUCUGGUCAUCUUUAUGAAGGACGUUCAUUCGCUUACGUCUGUAUACCACUACUGGGGCUCCUCCAAUUACAUACGCAAUCAUAGUGAAUGCACAAACAAAAAAGAAGAGAAAAUUGCGAAAGUGCAUGUUUCGGAGUGGACAGUGCUACUAUGUACUAAGAAUAAAAAAUUGGAAGUACCUACGCGAAUUCUAAAGGAAGCCGCAAGGUAUGAUAUUCUAUCAACAAGGCGAUCGCUAAAUAAGAGGAAAUGUAUUUAUCUUUCUAAUUAAGUGUUUUUCUAAAAAAUUUGUAGUUUUCGGGUUUAGUCGAAUGUUGUUAGAGAUACACCUCCUGCCCUUUGGUCUAGGGGUAUUUUUCCUUUAAUUACAAUUCCCAAGUAUAAAUUACGCAGUUACAAUACCUAUUAAUCCAACUAAUUAACCUUACAACGGUAAAAAGGAUGUGGAUUCCAUAACCUCCAGACUGAGAUAAACGGCAAACAAACCGCAAAACAAACUUUUAAAAACUAAUUGAUUGAGGUAUUGACCUUCUUAUUUUAGCAAUAAAUGGUUGUUGUACGUACCCAAAUGUUUUUCGACACUUUCCGUUAACUCUAUCGAAUCCUUUUUGGCAGUUUACUUUAAUAACAGCAAAUUUUUUUAGAUGCACUUUCGCACCUGCUAUUAUAUCAAGUGCUAAUACAUAGACAAGCAGAAGUAGGUAAUAGGAAAUCCGCAUGUUGCAGGCUACAGUUGGCAUUCAAGGGUUAAAUUGUCUGCCGAAAUUAAAUCAACUAAACGUCACCGCAAACAUUAAUCUAAAUACAUGGUUAAUUUGAUAUGAACCAACUUCAUGUGAAUUUUCUGAUUUAAUUUACACACUUCCGCGCACUUGUUUUGAUCCAUACAUGAUCUAUAUGCACGAUUGUACUUAUGUGUAAAUUAUCGUAGGUAAAAGAGAAAAAGUUGAUGGAUCAACACCGAUAGAUUACAUCGUGACUUCUUUCAUUGUGCCACGACCGCCCUUAUCUUUCGGAGUAUAUGCAGUACAUGCGCAAUUUCAUUCGUGGAAUUUUAUUUUGGAGGGCUACGUGAAUCGUGAAUGUUAAUUGAACCACUAACUUUUUCAGACGUGAAUGUAAUUAGUGUAUACCCUAGCUUUGGGCCCAUACACAUAUCUUGUGAGCUUUUGGUUUAGGCAAAAAUCAAAAGUCCUGUGGGGUAACACCGGCUGAUACUAGUUUGUACCUAUUUUGUGCGCUCUAUACCAAAAUAGGUAUGUGCAAGAAGGCUGGAAAGUACCUAUAUCAAAAGAUUAUUCACAGGUGCUAGAUGAACAACAAUGGCUAAUGGCAAACCAUAAUACUAAGUUGGUGGCAUGAUGAUUUUCAUUUUUUAGUCAUUUGGAAUUAACGAAUUUAAAAUAAAAUAUGUGUGCCAGAUGCUUUUUAAUUUUAAUUAAAGAAUUUGAGGAUCAUUUUUGAGGUAUUCGAAAUGCUAAAUCACCUCCAUUUAGUUUUUUUAUUAUAGACCCAAGUACAAUGAAAAGUUCCCUGUUAUUACUCAGUAGUUAAUUCAUUUAACCCCAGUUAACCAAUUAUAAAGCAAGGAUUUGCUCCAUAAUGCCCCAUCUGCAUUGUUUUUCUUGGUUGUGAGAUUGCUUAUGAAAUUAGGAAAACUAUUUUUGUGGAAAAUGUUUUACUGACUCAUAAACUUUCGCGAGCAUACCAUACCCCGAAGUUUUGUCGCAAUCGGAUGAGCGGUUUAGACAGGCAUAAUCACACUGUGCACAUUUUAAAUCCUUUGAAAAUCUGUGUGUUAAGAGAUCUCGUUUCAGAAAAUUUGUUGCUACAUUACAAUGUGUACACUUUAAAUCUAUUGAAGAGUUGCAUAUUUUUAAGCGGUAAGAGUUUCUCUUAUUCAGCUUUAUAAAAAUUACUAACUACGGGUAAACAUGUUUUUGAAAUUAGUUUGGGAUUUACAUAUCGUAGAAGUAUGAAAAUUUAGUGGAUUGAAUUGGUUUUCCAAAUAAAUGGCAUGCUUGGUGGAAAUUCAAGGAAUAAAUUAAAAGGACGAAGGAAAAUGAAAUUGAUUGACGACUUGAAGGAGGCAGAAGAAGGAUAUGAAGGAUUAUGGAGGAAAGCAAAGGAGUCGGUUUUGAUUUCCUUCUGGACAGCGGGGUCGAUAAUCCCCUACAUGACAGAUAUCAUCUGUGUAUUGUUGUAAUCGGAAAUCAGUAAGGGUUGGAAGCUUUUGAAAGGUGGAUAUGGAGAUGAGUCAUGAACUCAAAUGAAUUGAUGAGAUAAGGAUUGUAGAAGUAUUAAGUAGAAUUGGAAAAGAAAGAUGUAUGUUAAAGAUCAUAAAGCCAAAGAAAAUAAACUAGAUUGGAUAUGUAUUAAGAAAGAACUGUUUGGUGUAGGAAGUAAUCGAGGGAACUGCUCAGGGAGGAAGGAAACGAUGAGGAGGAAUGAGGAAAUUAGUUAACGACCUGAAUGGGGGAGGAUAUGAAGGAGUAAAGAGACAAUCUUUAAUAGUUCCCUUUUAAUAACAGCCGAGAAUAGUUAAUAAUUUAGUUUUGGCACGUCACUGUGAAUGUGAUUAUAGGGUGAUGUAGUCUGGUCCUUCAACUUCCGUCUUGAUGAGUCGAUUCUUAGAUAAUAGAAGGUGUUAUAUCAUUAUUCCAAGUGGCAUGGUGGUGUAUGAGUAAGAGGAUGUACUCUAUCAAAGAAGUAAAGCUUUUCUUUUACAAAAAAUUUCCUUUAUAUCGUAGAAAACCUCGGACAAUCGU